AGUGAACGCUGGCGGUAGGCCUAACACAUGCAAGUCGAACGGCAGCACAGGAGAGCUUGCUCUCUGGGUGGCGAGUGGCGGACGGGUGAGGAAUACAUCGGAAUCUACUCUGUCGUGGGGGAUAACGUAGGGAAACUUACGCUAAUACCGCAUACGACCUACGAGUGAAAGCAGGGGACCUUCGGGCCUUGCGCGAUUGAAUGAGCCGAUGUCGGAUUAGCUAGUUGGCGGGGUAAAGGCCCACCAAGGCGACGAUCCGUAGCUGGUCUGAGAGGAUGAUCAGCCACACUGGAACUGGGUAACGGUCCAGACUCCUACGGGAGGCAGCAGUGGGGAAUAUUGGACAAUGGGCGCAAGCCUGAUCCAGCCAUACCGCGUGGGUGAAGAAGGCCUUCGGGUUGUAAAGCCCUUUUGUUGGGAAAGAAAUCCAGCUGGCUAAUACCCGGUUGGGAUGACGGUACCCAAAGAAUAAGCACCGGCUAACUUCGUGCCAGCCGCCGCAGUAA
rnacentral:rRNA from 1 species